UACAGAGGGCUCAAGCGUUGUUCGGAUUCAUUGGGCGUAAAGGGUGUGUAGGUGGCGCCGUAAGUCGGGUGUGAAAUUUCGGAGCUUAACUCCGAAACUGCAUUCGAUACUGCGGUGCUUGAGGACUGGAGAGGAGACUGGAAUUCAUGGUGUAGCAGUGAAAUGCGUAGAGAUCAUGAGGAAGACCAGUGGCGAAGGCGGGUCUCUGGACAGUUCCUGACGCUGAGGCGCGAAAGCGUGGGGAGCAAACGGG
rnacentral:rRNA from 1 species